rnacentral:rRNA from 1 species
CCUGGUGCCUAUGGCGGUGUGGACCCACACUCAUCCAUCCCGAACUGAGUGGUGAAACGCACCCGCGGCGAAGAUAGUUGGAGGGCUGCCUCCCGCAAAAAUAGCUCGGUGCCAGGU